rnacentral:lncRNA from 1 species
CCUAAAUCUAACGUAAAACUUUGAGCUCACUCUGAAAUAUAUUCAUAUUUACUUACAAGGGGAAAAUGCCCUAUGAACUGAAAAUUAUGUGUAUUUUAGAACAUACACAAAAGAGAAGUUAAAAGAAAAUGAGAAAAAUAAAUAGAUGUGAUAAUACUUUAUUUCAUUACUCCGAUUAAUAGUCUUACCAAACUCACCCGAAGACUGCCUGCAAAGUUCUUGAAGGAGCUUGGGAUUGUAGGUGCUUUUGAUGUUUUAUUCAGACUGGACUAGAUGCUUUAACCCUGAAGGUGCAUCUUACGUAUCUAAAAAAGACUUCCCUUAGGGCUAAACAUAACAGAAAAGUGAUGAAUGAAGGAAUCUGUCCAACAUGUCAUCUUUGAUUGAAGAUAAAUACAUUCAUCUUAUGGUUCUAGCUCUAUUAAAUUGAGUCUGUUUAAUACACCCUGUCUGCAGCUAAACUAAUUAUUUCAGGCUGGAUUUUCAAUUUCUUACCUAGCCCUAGGAUAAAACACAGAGUUGAAUGGUUACGUAAUCACCAGGUGCCGCUCAAGUGGUGAUUUUUCAAAUCAAGUAUGGAUCUCAAAGAAGAGAAGCAAAUAACAACAGAGAUACUUCUUGUGCUAGGGCCCUGGUUGCAGGACGGUGUCCCACCAGGCUACAGCUCUUAAAUGGCAGAGCUGCUGCUGACACCUCUGUCGUUCUUGCAAGAUCAAAUACCAACUGCGUUGACUUCAAAUCUGGCUUAAAAAUAGGCCUAGCAGGCAUAGUUUUCUCAUCAAAACAAAUUAGCCUAAAAAAUAGCAUUCCGAGAGACCAAGGGUUAGGAAAAUUGUCCUGUGAGUGUUUUGAAUUCUUUGUCACCCUUCAUAACUGGUGCCGUUCAUGAGGGAGCUUAUUGGCUUGGGGGAUGACAACUUGAACAGCAAAACAGGAUGUGUCACCACCAGGCCCCCUGCUCUGCUGCAAUCUACGAGAAUUAAUCAGUUUUGGGUUUUUUUGUUGGUGGUGACGGUGGUUUUUUUCCUUUCUUUCUUCCUUUUUUAUGUCAGCGUCUCAGAUGGGCACACACUGAAACAGCUUCUUAUUUGCAUGCGGUGUGGCCUGGCGAGGGUGAACUGAGGACACGCAGAGCUCCCUCUGACUUGGCACCGGCAGGAAGUCGGCGGCAAGAAGCUACCACUUUUCAAGCCUGGGUGGCUUUUUCUUUUUUCUCUGUCAUUCAUUUUGGAAGAAAGCAUAAGUUUGAUUUCAAACAGAACACAAAAACUUGGAAGGAGGGCCAAACACAGGCAGGCAGAUGAUUCUUGUCCCCACUUUUACUUUUUUAAAAUUUAAUUGGAGAUGCUGCAGAGGUGGCAGAAAGGGGCCAGAGGAUGGUAGGUGCAGACUCGCUGCGGUGACAAUGCCCCGGGCAUCCCCUUUCUGCACAGUGGGGCACGGCAUCCAGGGGCAGCCUCCUCUCCAGACACCUGGGCAAAUCCAAAUCUGUGUUUCUUUGUCAUUCACCUGAGGAGAAGUCCCUUAUUCCAACGACCACUCCCGUGUGAGCGGUGACAGGUUUGAGCAGAAUGAGUCAACGCUGAAAUGAUGCCUGUGCCAUUUCACAGGAAUUUGCUUCUUUCUCGCUGGUUUUCAGAUGCAGUUCGAGGCUUCCGUUUUUUUCUCUGGAUUUGAAUCUCGUCCACAGAUCACUGCUGCCUUGCAGCUGAGUGUGUCAUUUGCAGCCCUGCUGUCUGGGGCCCGAGACUCCACACAAGAUGUGCUCAGAGAAGCAAAUGAACAACUCUGCUCUGAUAGGGGCAGCAAAGAGAGUGCAAUGGCCCUUGGGAACUGGGAAAGAAUGUCUUCCCAGACCUGGAGGAAGCUCCAAAUGACUGGAUCCUAAUGAUUCUACAGGUUCCUGGCUUUUCCCAGCAGUCCCUGCCCCCUGAGUCACCCUUCCUAUAAAUAUCCCCAUCCCACAAGAUAAUGGUCUUUUCAAAUUUCAUUAAGUUUUUGUCUCUUACCAAAUUGCUCUCUAUACUUUUAACAACGUUUCAUCACCUGAAGAGCUUUACGGGGUUCGCUAACCCCCUUGCCUCCUCACUAGCUA